UCUAGCUAGUUUAUAGAUAUCCAACUGUCCUUCUUUGGUAUCUAGUCACUUAUAUAUAUCGUCAUAAGCCGCUAGCUUAGCUUCUCUCACAGCUUUCUAGCUUUCUUCACCUCCUGCUUUGCUAUUCUAUACCUUUCACCAUUUUCAUCGGUCCUAUCCUUGUAUAAGGCUUUACAACAUUCUUUCUUAGCCUUCACCUUUGUUUGUACCUCCUCAUUCCACCAUCAAGAUUCCUUUUGGUGUGGAGCAAAGCCCUUGGACUCUCCUAAUACCUCAUUCCACCACCAAGAUUCCUUCAUUUCUAAACUUCCGACAAUAUUUUGUUUUGGUGGCUCAAAAGUCGAUUGCUACUUCUGCCGCAACCAACAUAACUGCUGCUCCUGAGUCUAAUAGUCCAGCCGUGCUGCAAUCAAGACCAACCUCAGAUGCCAACCAAGAUUUUGUCCAAGACGUUGAGAAUCAAGAGCAGGAACUCGAGCCUACCUCUAUUGAGCCAGAAAAUGGCGGAAGCAAGGUUGUCAUUCAAAAUGAUUUUGGGACGGGAAAGAGUCAUGAGUUUUCACAAGUUGCGGUGAUGGACUCCUGUUAAAGCCUCCAUGAACUUUUAGACCCAGCCAGCUCCUCCAUUUCUACUCCUGCCAGACUCGCAAGCCAUAUCGACAAUCAGAACUAUUCUAGAAAUGGACUUUACUACUAUGGCUGGCGAUGUUAAACGAACUGACAAGAUUUCACUCAUCAAGAGAUUCGUAGAUUCUAAUUGCUUUCCCACCGACAGCAGAACAAGGAUUUUGCAAAUAUUGGAGCAGCUAGAGCAACCUCUUCGAGCCUAUUCCGAGUAUGAUAAGGGCAAAAACUUGAAUGCCCAAGUCGAAGAUAUGAUAAAGCAUCUUCAACCUAAGGUUCAGUUUUGUGAUAGCAAGAGGAGAGACCUUCAAAGACUAGAGAAUGAGAAAUUGCAGAUUGAAGCCUACCAGGCUGUAAUACGUGCUGAAAUUGAUGGCACUGUCAAAGAGACUAAACCGAUCCAGGCAGAACUCAAGGAAUUGCUCCCACAGCGAGAUCAAUUUAAAGAAAAUAAGACUAAUAUCAAGACCAGCUUGGAUUUUGGAGAAGGCUACUGGACAAUCUUGAAGAAAGUAAUUCCCCGCAACCUCCCUCCGUGACUUCCUUCUUUGGGUUGCAUUUGGGUUGCAGUUUUUUUCCUUUUCGUUUUCUCUUUGGUGGUGUAACUGCUCGCAUUUACCAGCAAAUUAUUUUUAAGUAGAGAUUUUUCAGUGUACCAGGACGUGUUUCUGGUAUACCAAGUCGAACCUUAUUCUGAGUAUGAUAAGGUUUAGUUUUGUAAUAGUAAAGAGAGAGAAUUGCAAGAGCUUGCUAAAUGGAAAUUGAGUAUUGAAGUC